CAUGCUAUGGAGUGUUUUACAAGACUAAGUUAUAAUUAAUAACAAGGUUACUCUAAUUUUUCUGUUUUUCAGGACUUCUUACCCUGGCACACUAUGGAAAUACGAUGCAAAGUAUAUAUUAAAUUCAGAAAGCUCUGUUUUCUCCAUCAAUCCUCAUCAUGGUGUCAUAAACCUUGAAGUGAUAAACACACUCCAGAAAGACCAGAGGACAUGGCUUCUUCAGCAGUGUCUAUUCCAAAGCAUAAAUGUGGAUCUUCAGUACCCAAACCCUUUUGAAGUCCCAGUGGCAAAUGAACUGUGUAGAUAUAAUUCAUGCAGGUCAACUAGAAUGGACAAAAAGCAAAGUAGCAAAGGAUAGAAAAUGGAAUUGGAAUGGCAAGUAGAAGCUAUUUAUCACAUUUGGUGCUUGUUUUCUUUAUUGAUUUCAGAGAAAACUAAAGAGAUGAUAUAGUCAUUUUAUUUUUUUACUUAACUUCUUUCUUUAUUCUUUCAGUGAGCCCUCAAUAGAUGCCACUCCUUUUCCCCAGCAAAUUAUACACUUCUAUAGUUUCUACUGAAUUUCUUUUGUCCUUCCACUAAUGAAAUUGAGAAGCCAAGACAGGAGCUAAAUAAUAGAAUGUUCCCCCAAGUGCACUUCUUUUACAUUAAAUUUGUCCCGCUUUAACUCUGAUAUCCUCAAAA